GAUGAACGCUGGCGGCGUGCCUAAUACAUGCAAGUCGAGCGAACGGACGAGAAGCUUGCUUUUCUGAUGUUAGCGGCGGACGGGUGAGUAACACGUGGAUAACCUACCUAUAAGACUGGGAUAACUUCGGGAAACCGGAGCUAAUACCGGAUAAUAUUUUGAACCGCAUGGUUCAAAAGUGAAAGACGGUCUUGCUGUCACUUAUAGAUGGAUCCGCGCUGCAUUAGCUAGUUGGUAAGGUAACGGCUUACCAAGGCAACGAUGCAUAGCCGACCUGAGAGGGUGAUCGGCCACACUGGAACUGAGACACGUUCCAGACUCCUACGGGAGGCAGCAGUAGGGAAUCUUCCGCAAUGGGCGAAAGCCUGACGGAGCAACGCCGCGUGAGUGAUGAAGGUCUUCGGAUCGUAAAACUCUGUUAUUAGGGAAGAACAUAUGUGUAAGUAACUGUGCACAUCUUGACGGUACCUAAUCAGAAAGCCACGGCUAACUACGUG
rnacentral:rRNA from 1 species